rnacentral:lncRNA from 1 species
AUAGUGCAUUGAAGUUUCAUGUCCCUGCUUUUCAACAUGCAUGGAUAUCCAAGUUUACACAAGUGUGGCAUUUUGAAUAAGUGUCUGUAUGUAUUACCAUUUACAUUGAAAAUUGUUUAAAUAGGGAAAAAAGUAUUAUGAGAUAUUUGAAGAAUAGCUAUUAUCAUUAUACUUUUUUAGACUGUUUCAAAUAGAUAUUGCCACUUGAGUAUAUAAGACACCAUGGAAUACACAGAGCAUAAAAGUAAUAUCCGUCUAUAGAUGGAUGGAUGGCUAUUUUUAAAACAUUCAGUGGCUUAUUUAGGAUGACAAC